UACGGGGGGGGCAAGCGUUGUUCGGAAUUACUGGGCGUAAAGGGCGCGUAGGUUGGUGGACAAGUCUCUCGUGAAAGCCCACGGCUCAACCGUGGAAUUGCGUGAGAUACUGUCUGUCUUGAGUCCGGGAGAGGAGGGUGGAAUUCCCAGUGUAGCGGUGAAAUGCGUAGAGAUUGGGAGGAACACCGGUGGCGAAGGCGGCUCUCUGGACCGGUACUGGCGCUGGGGCGCGAAAGCUAGGGGAGCAAACGGG
rnacentral:rRNA from 1 species